rnacentral:rRNA from 1 species
AGGAAUAUUGGUCAAUGGGCGAGAGCCUGAACCAGCCAAGUAGCGUGAAGGACGACUGCCCUAUGGGUUGUAAACUUCUUUUAUAAAGGAAUAAAGUCGGGUAUGGAUACCCGUUUGCAUGUACUUUAUGAAUAAGGAUCGGCUAACUCCGUGCCAGCAGCCGCGGUAAUACGGAGGAUCCGAGCGUUAUCCGGAUUUAUUGGGUUUAAAGGGAGCGUAGAUGGAUGUUUAAGUCAGUUGUGAAAGUUUGCGGCUCAACCGUAAAAUUGCAGUUGAUACUGGAUAUCUUGAGUGCAGUUGAGGCAAGCGGAAUUCGUGGUGUAGCGGUGAAAUGCUUAGAUAUCACGAAGAACUCCGAUUGCGAAGGCAGCCUGCUAAGCUGCAACUGACAUUGAGGCUCGAAAGUGUGGGUAUCAAACAGGAUUAGAUACCCUGGUCGUCCACACGGUAAACGAUGAAUACUCGCUGUUUGCGAUAUACUGCAAGCGGCCAAGCGAAAGCGUUAAGUAUUCCACCUGGGGAGUACGCCGGCAACGGUGAAACUCAAAGGAAUUGACGGGGGCCCGCACAAGCGGAGGAACAUGUGGUUUAAUUCGAUGAUACGCGAGGAACCUUACCCGGGCUUAAAUUGCAGAUGAAUUACGGUGAAAGCCGUAAGCCGCAAGGCAUCUGUGAAGGUGCUGCAUGGUUGUCGUCAGCUCGUGCCGUGAGGUGUCGGCUUAAGUGCCAUAACGAGCGCAACCCUUGUUGUCAGUUACUAACAGGUUCCGCUGAGGACUCUGACAAGACUGCCAUCGUAAGAUGUGAGGAAGGUGGGGAUGACGUCAAAUCAGCACGGCCCUUACGUCCGGGGCUACACACGUGUUACAAUGGGGGGUACAGAGGGCCGCUACCACGCGAGUGGAUGCCAAUCCCCAAAACCUCUCUCAGUUCGGACUGGAGUCUGCAACCCGACUCCACGAAGCUGGAUUCGCUAGUAAUCGCGCAUCAGCCACGGCGCGGUGAAUACGUUCCCG